CACUGCCGAGAAAAGCCUCUAGAUAGAAAAUAGGUGCCCGUACCGCAAACCGACACAGGUAGUCAAGAUGAGAAUUCUAAGGUGAGCGAGCGAACUCUCGUUAAGGAACUCGGCAAAAUGACCCCGUAACUUCGGGAGAAGGGGUGCUCUUUAGGGUUAACGCCCAGAAGAGCCGCAGUGAAUAGGCCCAAGCGACUGUUUAUCAAAAACACAGGUCUCUGCUAAACCGUAAGGUGAUGUAUAGGGGCUGACGCCUGCCCGGUGCUGGAAGGUUAAGAGGAGUGGUUAGCUUCUGCGAAGCUACGAAUCGAAGCCCCAGUAAACGGCGGCCGUAACUAUAACGGUCCUAAGGUAGCGAAAUUCCUUGUCGGGUAAGUUCCGACCCGCACGAAAGGCGUAACGAUUUGGGCACUGUCUCAACGAGAGACUCGGUGAAAUCAUAGUACCUGUGAAGAUGCAGGUUACCCGCGACAGGACGGAAAGACCCCGUGGAGCUUUACUGUAGCCUGAUAUUGAAAUUCGGCACAGCUUGUACAGGAUAGGUAGGAGCCUUUGAAACGUGAGCGCUAGCUUACGUGGAGGCGCUGGUGGGAUACUACCCUAGCUGUGUUGGCUUUCUAACCCGCACC
rnacentral:rRNA from 1 species